AGAGUUUGAUCAUGGCUCAGAUUGAACGCUGGCGGCAUGCCUUACACAUGCAAGUCGAACGCCCCGCAAGGGGAGCGGCGGACGGGUGAGUAACGCGUGGGAACGUACCCCUUUCUACGGAAUAGCCUCGGGAAACUGGGAGUAAUACCGUAUAAGCCCUACGGGGGAAAGAUUUAUCGGGAAGGGAUCGGCCCGCGUUGGAUUAGGUAGUUGGUGGGGUAAUGGCCUACCAAGCCGACGAUCCAUAGCUGGUUUGAGAGGAUGAUCAGCCACACUGGGACUGAGACACGGCCCAGACUCCUACGGGAGGCAGCAGUGGGGAAUCUUAGACAAUGGGGGAAACCCUGAUCUAGCCAUGCCGCGUGAUCGAUGAAGGCCUUAGGGUUGUAAAGAUCUUUCAGUGGGGAAGAUAAUGACGGUACCCACAGAAGAAGCCCCGGCUAACUCCGUGCCAGCAGCCGCGGUAAUACGGAGGGGGCUAGCGUUGUUCGGAAUUACUGGGCGUAAAGCGCACGUAGGCGGACCGGAAAGUCAGAGGUGAAAUCCCAGGGCUCAACCUUGG
rnacentral:rRNA from 1 species